GUGAGACCUUUCUGCCUAGCUCUAGCUCAUGGUUGUUAUCCUGUCCUCACUCUUCCUGGGCUUAGCAGAGGUCAUGUUCUUGCUUGUGCUUUCUGCUAAGUGAGACAAGACCUUCAUGCCUUCCUCUCCAGCUUCUCAGUAGAGGCAUGCAGAACAUACCCAAUGUCACAAACAAACCUCGAGUGGGCAAGCAAGAAGCCAGGAAUCAGAUGCUGGCUUGAAUCCAGAGGCUGAUGUGGGCCCAAAACCUGCCUGAAAAAUGGAACAAAGGGAAGACAUUGGCCUAAGAGAACACAAGAGAUGCUGCUAAGGUAAUUGUCUGGGUGGUGUGAGGGCCCAGGAACAGAGCAGACACAGAAGGAGGGUGCUUGAAUGUGGGUCCCUGAAGGUGUCAGGCUCUGUGCUUACAAAUGGAGCCCCGGGGUCAGGAAGGGAGGAAGGAACAGUCCCUGAGGCCUUAGAUGGAGGGGUCAGUUUGUGGGGCACCCAUGUCUUUGCCUGUGAAUAGAGAGGGAGUUGUUAAAGGCGCCAAGCUGAUUCGGACAAAUAAAGAUUUCUUUCUGAGGCUC
rnacentral:lncRNA from 1 species